AUCCGAGAAAAAAUAUAUGGGAAUCGAACCCACAGUGUUCCGCUUACCGGGCAGAUGCCAUGUCCACUAGGUUACCAUGGA
rnacentral:tRNA from 1 species